UGGGGAAUAUUGCACAAUGGGGGAAACCCUGAUGCAGCAACGCCGCGUGGAGGAUGAAGGUCUUCGGAUUGUAAACUCCUGUCUUUUGGGACGAAAAAUGACGGUACCAAAGGAGGAAGCCACGGCUAACUACGUGCCAGCAGCCGCGGUAAUACGUAGGUGGCAAGCGUUGUCCGGAAUUAUUGGGCGUAAAGGGCGCGUAGGCGGCGUCUUAAGUCAGAUGUGAAAUUCCCGGGCUUAACCUGGGACGUGCAUCUGAUACUGGGAUGCUAGAGUGCAGGAGAGGUAAGUGGAAUUCCUAGUGUAGCGGUGAAAUGCGUAGAUAUUAGGAGGAACACCAGUGGCGAAGGCGGCUUACUGGACUGUAACUGACGCUGAGGCGCGAAAGCGUGGGGAGCAAACAGGAUUAGAUACCCUGGUAGUCCACGCUGUAAACGAUGGAUACUAGGUGUGGGAGGUAUCGACCCCUUCCGUGCCGCAGUAAACGCAAUAAGUAUCCCGCCUGGGGAGUACGGCCGCAAGGUUG
rnacentral:rRNA from 1 species